rnacentral:sRNA from 1 species
GGUUUUAACCCAGUUAACCAAGGUUAGCAUGGAUUUCGACCUUUCGAAAGAGAGUGUUGAAUAAUACUGUAAUUUUUGGAAUCGCUUCUUCGGGGUUAUCCGUUGAGGCAAUA